ensembl:lncRNA
UUUUUUUUUUUUUUCCCAUCUUUUGUCUUAUUAAGGCCACACCUGAGGCAUACGGAGGUUCCCAGGCUAAGGGUCAAAUCAGUUGGAGCUGUAGCUGCCAGCCGACACCACAGUCACAGCCACACAGGAUCCAAGCUGCGUCUGCAACCUACACCACAGCUCACGGCAACGCCAGAUCCUUAACCUGCUGAGCAAGGCCAGGGAUGGAACCCACGUCCUCAUUGAUGAUACUAGUCGGGUUUGUUAACCACUGAGCCACGACAGGAACUCCCUUGGUUGAUUUUCUAUGCAUAUCCAAGUGGAAGAAGAUAGAAAAGGACAGGUUACCAUAAACUUCAAUAUUGACAAAAGGAAAAUAUGCAUAGACCACAAAGGAACAGAAUGAGAACAUGCAAGGAUAUGAUUUCCUAAGGUCCACCGAAAUAAGGUGAAGUCUGUCUUCCCUGCAGAGAAAAGAAGAGGGAAUGGUAGGAAGAAAGGUAACGAUGUGGAAGAUUAUCCAAAAAUUCCAAGCUGCAACAACUCUGUCACUGAAUGCUGCCCCUCAGUGACAUACUGACUCUGAAGUAAAACUGCAGAGCCCCCAGGAGAGGGAAGGCAGGGUGUGCUGAGGGAGAAGACAAAAAGCCAUUGUAGCCGAGACACUUACACUUAACCCUUUUACAGCCUAGGGAAUACAUCCUAAUUGUUCUCCCAACUUUUGUCUGAGAGUUAAUGACAAAAUAAUAAUAGUAAAUUACUGAGAAGCACCCCCAGAGGCAACAGAAGCUAUGCUGAGCCACAUUAAAAUGCAGCAUGGAGUUAUGCAAAGUAUCGCAUUAAAAUUUAAGACCCUUCAAAAAAUUCAAUCUUGUUUAAUUUCAUUGCUUUGAAAUUAAAUAAAUGAUUUUUAUAAUGGAAAAAAAUAAAAAUCAUUUAUUUAAUUUCAAAGCAGUAUUUCAAACCAAAAGGCCCUGUGGGAAUCGAGAGAGAAAAGGGAGGUAACAACAGUCCAUCUCUACUAAGGACAGAACUGAGGCAGGAGGGGAGGGGGAUCUGCCAGACAUUUUUAACGACAACGUCAUUUGUGAUAUAUUGUGAAGGUCUGUCCUUCUGUCACAGUGCAAGACAAAGGGACCAUUUUACUUCUUGUUUCCUACUUUACUAUUAUUGAUUAAGGUGAAAAGCUACGUCUCUGGCUCUGACCUCCCUUAAGCCCUGGACCCAUAAUAUGGAACUGCUUCCUCGUGUUCCCUUCCCUUGAAUCACAUUCCAUAAGCAACAACAAUUCAAUGUGACCAAAACUGAAUUUAUCAUUUUUUUUUUCCAAAAUCUGCUCUUCUUCCUUAAUCUCCCAUUCCAAAGCACCCAAGACAAGAAUCUGAUUCCCCCGGAUGCUUCUCCACCCUUUAAGAUGAAAGAAUCAAAGCUUUCACCUCGUCAGCUACUCUUGGUUGGUGUACUCUUCAUCCCUUCUGCCACAGGCUUUCAGUUCAGACCCUCCCAUCUGGCCUCAGAACCCCUGCGCUAUCCUCUUAGCAAAUGUCCCCGGUUCUCCUCAUCUUGUCUCCCACCAACAGAAUCUGCGCCAGAGCACCGAACAGAGGGAUGCUUCCAAGAUGCAAAUCUGAUCAGGCUGCACCCCAGAGCCCUGGGAUGACUAGAUCCCGUUCUCUAAAAAAUACAAACCAAGUUUCUGAGCAUGACAGAAAGGCCUUCGUGGGCCGGCCAUCAACUUCCCCUUCCAGCACUCCGUGUCACACAUCGACACAAUGAGGUAGCUCACCGCAGCACUCCACAUGCUACUUUACAUGCUUUUCUUUGCCAUGUAUUCCCUCUGCCUGGAAUGUCCUUCUCGUCAACAAGCCACAGUUCAAAAACCCAUUCCUUCAGGAACCCUCCCCGGACUUUUUGCCACCCCUUCUGCUCCACUGCAGGAGGGGGGAUCCUCCCUCUGUCUUUGCACAGUACACAGGCCUCCUCAGCAGCUACCUAUCACACCCUCUCACAUGUCUGCUUUAUUCUAUUACCCGUGGGGCUGCUGACAGCUCUAGGAAGCUGCCUUCUCCUUCACUCAGUGCCUGCUGCCCAAGAAAUGGUCUCGAAAUUUUUUUCAUUAUGUGCAAUUUCUACUAGAUGCUAUUUGUAACAUUUUCUCCUAGUUUUUGUUUUGUUUUGUUUUGUUUUGUUUUUUUAUUUUCCCACUGUACAGCAAGGGGGUCAGGUUAUCCUUACAUGUAUACAUUACAAUUACAUUUUUUACCCCACCCUUUGUUCUGUUGCAACAUGAGUAUCUAGACAUAGUUCUCAAUGCUAUUCAGCAGGAUCUCCUUGUAAAUCUGUUCUAAGUUGUGUCUGAUAAGCCCAAGCUCCCGAUCCCUCCCACUCCCUCCCCCUCCCAUCAGGCAACCACAAGUCUCUUCUCCAAGUCCAUGAUUUUCUUUUCUGAGGAGAUGUUCAUUUGUGCUGGAUAUUAGAGUCCAGUUAUAAGUGAUAUCAUAUGGUAUUUGUCUUUGUCUUUCUGGCUCAGUUCACUCAGUAUGAGAUUCUCUAGUUCCAUCCAAGUUGCUGCAAAUGGCAUUAUGUCAUUCUUUUUUAUGGCUGAGUAGAAUUCUAUUGUGUAUAUAUACCACAUCUUCCGAAUCCAAUCAUCUGUCGAUGGACAUUUGGGUUGUUUCCAUGUCUUGGCUAUUGUGAAUAGUGCUGCUAGUUUUCAACACAAGUACAAAUGAGUGGUUCAUAGGAAGACCUAUUUUAUAUGCCCCAUUCAACAGGAAAAGGGCAAGGAGCCUUUAUUAGUUUCCCCCAGGUCAGCAGGGUACUACCAAGUACACUUCUUCACACAGCACUUAAUGUUUAAAAAAGCCACAUAAGCUAAGUAGUGGCAGCAUCUUGUUUUUGCAGAGAAGGAAAUGACAACUCAUAGAGAAUAGUAAGGGCUACAGAGCUACACAGGUGGAAAGUGAAUGGGUCAAUAUUACAAUAUAGGUUUUACAUGAAUCCAAUAGUGCUUCUCACAUAAGAGAACACAGAAAUUAAAUGGAAAGAAAAUGCCAAACAAGGAAGAAAAAAGAAAAUUUUCUAAGUUCUCCUCCAGACUCCCAGUUUUCUCUUUUCUCCCUAUUACUCAUCUGAAGACGUGGCUCAGGGUGAUGGGGUCAUGCUAAGAUCACGGCUAUUACUUAGAACACCAUGUUAAGGAAAGUGAAGGUUAGUGGUUCAAUAAACUUAAGGAUUAAUCCAUUUCAUCCCACUAGAUAUCCAUCUACUGAACUUCUAACCUCAUGAACCAUUUCACAAACACAUGGACCAGGACCAUGUGUGCAGAGGCUCAAUUUUAAUCCAAUACUACCACUACAACACAGCUUGAAGUACUAACCUUCUUGUGGUGCCUGAAUACUCUUGUAUAUGAAGAUAUUACGAAGAGGCUCAGGGCUCAGCUCUGCAAAGAGAAUACGCUCUGGAAUUCCUACCUAGAAAGAGCUAAGCAUGAGGGUUAGUUCAUGGCCUGUACCACAGGACUAGGGUUUCUCUCUUUCAGGACAUGGGUGAGGAAAAGCUGCCUCUUGCACCACAUCCCGCACACCCCGGCUUGGGGACAUUCUGGGGCACGCUGCAGGUACCAAGGACCAGAGGCUCAGCAUACAGGUCCCGGCAGCAAGUCGUGCCUGGUAGUGCGGCAUCAUAAAAAACACGCUUUGCCUACUGGGUGGAAGUAAUUCAGCCAAAAUAAAAAUUGCAUCGGCUGCUCAGCAAUGCUUGGAGUUCAGCACCCAGAGAACUAAAAGAGCUACAACUCAGGGACACUAGGCAGAAAGCCCAACAAUGGCAGCCUUGAAAAAGACAAGGAAGAAAAAAUGUAGCAGCAACUCCCUGGGCAUGUGACUUGAGACUCUUGGCAGGCUGCCCCACAAGACUGGACAGUCUGUGGGCAGAGAAUUCACAUCUUUCUCUCAGCUGCCAGAGGCUAAGAAGGGCCAGACCAGACGGAGGACUACCAACUCAUAUCUUCCAGCAAGCUAAUCAUCAAUGAGACUCUCCAGAGGACAACAGUGAAUGAAUAACCAUAACUCUCACCUGCUUUGCACAGUCAUGUGACUGAUCAACAUCACUCCAACCAGGCUCCAUGACUUCUACAACCUGAAACAGCUUGUAACAUAUUAAUUGGGUAUCAAAUAUGCAACCAAUGCAGGGUUUCUUCCCCAGUCGGCAUAGAGAGAAACAAAGCUCUGCUGCAAAAACAAAGGAACAGAGUUCAGCUUAACAAGUCAACCAACCUUAACAGGGCAUGAACUGAGACACUGGGCCAAGAGCAGGUAAUACAAAGGUGAAUAAGAGGUCUUGGAGGAAACUCCUGUGCACUGGAGCGGGAGGGGCAAAAAGAAUGUCAAUAUAAUAUGAUAACUGCUGGCACGAUAUGGAUACAACAGUAUAUGAAGAUCACCAGCCAGAGUUAAACGAACAAAAUCAAAGCAGGCAACCAUCGACAUCCACGUGGACCAAAGGGGAGGGUUAAAAAAAAAAAAAAAAAA